ACUCUCUCAGCUCUGCACAGUUACACCUGUUUGCACACAUAGACUUUUGUAAUCAGGAGAUAAAAGAUCUCCUCAGGACCUCAGGUUGGCCUCACAGUGGCUAGUCUUUCCUAAAGGGCCUAAGAUAA